CUUCAUUGCAAGAAGAUCCUUCUUCUAUUGUCCUGGGGAGGUAAAGCAAAGGGCAGAAUCAAUCAAAGAGCUGGAGGUGUGAGGUUACAGCUCCCAUCUGGGCUCAGGAUUUCAAUCCUCAAGCAUGAGACAGACUGUAGAAGGAGGUGGAUUCUUGGGAUUCAGCUUCAGGAUGGUGAUAAAUGAUCCCAGAGCAUUGGAGUUGGCUGGGAGCUUGGUGACCAUCUAUCAAGUUCAACCAUAUGACCCUGGAUUCAAAUCUUGUUUUCUAUGGGACCACAAUGCUGCCAGAAAGCACCUGAAGACGGGAAAAAUGCCUUAUGUUGAUUGUCUCAUUUGAUCCUGA